UUUGACAAAAGAUAAAAAAACUUUGCACUUUUUUAGCAACUGCUCCUUUCCACGAUCCUAAGAUUCUUCACUUCCUCUCCCCUCUCUCAACCCUCUCCCACUUAAUUUACGAUUUCAAUGGCAACCGUAUAAACCAUUCUCAUGAAAGUAAAAUCGAUGCAAUAACUUCUUCUUCUUCUUCUCAUAACAUUAGAUCCGAUCCAUUCUUUCUUCUAAAUAUUUCUAACAGAGAAACGAAAGGAUAACGAAAACAAUGAAAGUUGAGACUUUUGCGAUGCCUAAUGUGACGGAAGAUGUUAACUUCCCACGACACACUGAGUUUCGUCCACCUAAUCGCUGCUGCUCGACAAAAUGACCACAAGACUUUGCGAGAAUCAUAUAAAAACAAAAUGGAUGCAGCUUAAUAGAGGAUGAAUCAAUUGUAUGAACGUGGAAUUCUGCCAACAAUUUUGUAUAGAGAAGCAACAAAACAACAAAUGUUUUGGGGCUUUCAAUUCAAAAGAAGAAGAAGAAGAAACAAAACAAUUUGAGAUCAUGGGUGGCAUGACAUGGCAUCUCUUCUUCCACGGUGUAGGGUGCAAAAGAAUUUAAAUGUGUAACCAUCUUAUAUGUUCAAGUUUAAAAUCGCUUUGAUAUGAAGGUUAUUCAUUUGUCCAUCAUUAUUAUUGUUGGCUCCGUAUAGCUUUUCUUUCUCAUCUAUUCUUUCUCUUUUUUUCUCUAUGUCUAUGACAAGUUACUGUAUUUAUGUACGAUCUCUGGCUGUAUCAAAAUACAAUGGAAGUUUCCUAAAUUUUGACACUUUUAUAUCACGAUUUGGGUGAAGUUGAG